GAAAGGGAUAGUGGGGGGGGCGCACAAAUACCGUGGAGUAUGUGGUAUUAUUAAACGACACGAGGAGCCCUUUCUCAGGUCUUCACAUCCUUAGCCUAUCCUUAAUAGAAGAUUUCCCCUUCGGGACAAGAGUGACAGGUGGUGCAUGGUUGUCGUCAGCUCGUGUCGUGAGAUGUUGGGUUAAGUCCCGCAACGAGCGCAACCCUUGAUUUUAGUUGCCAUCAUUAAGUUGGGCACUCUAAGGGGACUGCCGGGGACAAAUCGGAGGAAGGUGGGGAUGACGUCAAAUCAUCAUGCCCCUUAUGACCUGGGCUACACACGUGCUACAAUGGGCGGUACAAAGGGUUGCCAAGCCGCGAGGUGGAGCUAAUCCCAUAAAACCGUUCUCAGUUCGGAUUGUAGGCUGCAACUCGCCUACAUGAAGCUGGAAUUGCUAGUAAUCGCGGAUCAGCAUGCCGCGGUGAAUACGUUCCCGGGUCUUGUACACACCGCACGUCACACCACGAGAGUUUGGACCCCCCGAAGUCGGUGGGGUACCUCUUGGAGCCAGCCCCC
rnacentral:rRNA from 1 species